AGAAAACAUUUAUCAUACCCAAUAAAGUAUUAUGUUGCUUCAUCUUCUCACGGAUCUUCUCACAUGUGAUCUUCGUAGAUUGCAGUCGAGUCUUCCAUACAACCAGAACACCGAUCUACUCACCGUUUCAAGUAUCAGAGGAUGGGUCGAGAACACAGGUUAAUUUGGAAGUGAGGCCUAAUUUAUAAGGUUCAAGAGAAACGUAAUGAAUGGAUCAAUCGCAACAUAACUCGAGAUCGACGAUGUUUGUGCAGUAGCGGAAACAAAUAAGUAGAAUUAGAUAACGACUCUAAUAGCUCCUUGAGCAGGUGCUAUUCUUCUGAGCGAACACUCCGCUAAGAGGAACCAAGAAGGUCGUGUUCGUAAGUUGGGCGCUUUGGUUAUACGUAGAAGAGGUGGUCUUCAGUUGACAGUAUGCUCCUCUGUUUGUUUUUGGAUUUCAUCAAUUAAUGUCUAUGUUCCCAAAGAUAGGGUGACAAAAUUUUCAUUAAGGUUAUGGAAUCAUAGUGAGGACUAUACAAUUAAGGUUCUUAACAUGAUUAAGCUCCAUGGAAAGCCUAUAUUUGUUAACAAGUACGCAUCUUAAGAUAAGAAGAUCAUCGAUGUUGGUGCUAACCUUUGGAAACAGUUAAAACGAUGGUUUAUAUUUACGCUUCUUCAAAAGGAUGCACAUUAGAAAAUCUUCUAAGAGAGAUAGAACAAAAUGGGUGCGGAUUUUGAGCCCUGUGAAUCGGGUUGUUCUUGAUAAGUCCAAAAUCUCCAAGAAGCGUAAAGAUUUGCCUGUCAGAGUUGGUCAUGUUUAUUUUGAUGCCAAGGGCCAAUAACUGUGGAUUUUAACAGAGUUCAACAAGUGAUCAUUCGACAGCAACUACUACGCUGGGGGAUGGUAGUAGUGAAAAGACAAGUUUAAGCCAAGAUAGUAAAGAAAACAGUAAAGCUCGAGGAAGAGACAUCAGGAAAGAAAUAUGACAAGUUUAUUAAAUUAAGGGUGUGACUGGUAACCAUCAUAGGAACGGAUAGGAAAGGAUGGAGUAGGAAUAAAAUUUUAGGAAUGAUGGUUCCUUAUCAAAAUUAAUGAGAAAUAUAUUUGUUCUAUAAUUCUCUACGAACAAAGGAAUGAAAAGGAAAAUUCAUUCCUCAUGAAUGAUAAAAAAUUUAAGGAAUAUUAAGAAACAUAGUGUUCUUCCU